UAUGAUUUUGUCAUCCUUUCUGCAUAAAAACAUUUUGAUAAACUCUCUGUUGUUUUCUAAAGCAUGCUUGAAAUGCUUUUUCUGCCUUCACAGCCUUGUUUUUCACGUGUCACUAGUGUUUUUACUUGUUCUAGCACAUAUAAGCACUUUUUUUUCCAUGUGGUGCUGACUAGUAGGGCCUGUGUAAAAGAUGAAGCUUGCUGGUUUAAGUGUAUUAUUGAAUGGAAUGGCAAAAGAAUUUAGAUACAGUAGGAGGCUGCCUCUCCAAAGGCAAGCUGUUGACAGGCUAAAUACUGGAAGAAAUUAAAACAGUGGCCAGACAACAAUUUCUGAAAUGUUGAAAGAAAUGCGUUUAUUUAAACUAGCCUGUCGUGACCUCGGCGCUGACACCUCUCUUACUUUUCAGUCACUUCUGAAAGAUUCCUAGGAAAAUAUCCUGAAACUGCAUGAGAUCCUGGUCCUCAUGCACAAACUGAAUAGAGUGGUUGAAGUCAGUGACAGUUUAGUUCAAGGGAGAGGGCACUUUGUAGCUCCUCAAAGUGGCUAGUCAAAUAGAUAAACUGAAGUGUGCUACAAUAAUACCAAGGCUUUCAUGUUCAGUAACUAACAAUUUUUGGUUGUAUUUGCUGGUUGAAAGUUGACUGGUUAAAGUUUGAAAAAAAUUCUGUCACAUUCCAACAAACUACAUUUUCAAGUAGUUUUUCUUUGAUGUGAAGAGAAAUGAACUCAUUUUUGUAUAGCUUUAAGAUGUAAAAGUGCUUUAAACUUCUGACUGUAACUGUAUCUGAAAGGUUAGUGGUUUUUUUUUUUUUCCAAUUUCAGACCUUCAAUGUGACAUCCAGUUUACACAUCAUGCUUUUAAAGUACGUUAUUUUGCAGGUACAGCUAAACCUCUUUUCCAUUUGUUCUCAUUUUAUGUCUCUGUUAAGGCCAAAAAAAGAGUUUCAUCAUCCCAAAAUUUUGUGACAAAGAUGAGUAGAGCAUGUUUAGUGGAUGACAUUUGAGAGCAAAAAAGAUUACUGUCAUAAAUAGCUUUAGCUCACACAGUUAUUUGAUUUUUUUCUCUUACAUGAAAGAAAUCUUCAAUGGCAGAUGGAGUCUUGACCUGACCACGAGGGGAGCACACAUCUACGUGGCCAUGCUGGUAAUUUACGAUAUGUUUCUUUGUGAUGCACUCUUCCACGGUAAUGAGAAAAGGUAGACAAGCACUAAAGCUUUCUUACUUCUUCACAAGCAAUCAACGACUAAUUGAUGCAAUAUGGCUGGGAUUGUUAUUGGCAUCUAAGGGACUGGACACCUAACUCCUGCUAACUUGAUUGAUGAUCUCAGUAUAUCUUUUUUUUUUCUUUUUUUUUCUUUUUUUUUAAAUCUAGGUUCCUGCCCGCUGAAGAAAUACUGCUUUAUUUCACCAUUCAGAUGAAAAACAUUAGAUUGAGUGCGGUGACUGCACUCCCUGUAAUAGAUGUUUUACUUCGCUGUUUGUUUUUGACUGGAAAAUACGUGCUUCUGUUUGUAUAUAGGGAAACAAAGAAAAAGUUAAUAGAGGCUUUUUCUCCAGAGAGAGCACAAGAGAUUAUAGACUCUUUCAGUUUUGCCUAAAUGUAAUUUUAACAGUAAGGUAAAAUAGUAUAGCUUAAACAUGAAAGCAUAGUGAGUGGAUACACGAAAGCACGAUACCUUUUAUAUCAGCAUUCUUUGCUGACUGCAGCAAGGUGAAAUCAAGGUGGAGGCACUGCUUAAAUGCGAUGCAUGAAGCCUAAAGUAGAGCUGAUGGACUGAAUUUUGCUUUAAUUUAUACCUAGUGCAGUUCCAUUGAAGUCAGCAGGGAGAUGGAUCAAAGCAGGACUUUGCUGCUAAAUAAUAGGGUGCUCAAAAUUGCUCAUGCCAUCUUUUUGCAACCUUGGUUGUAAUCCUCAAGGGAAAAUUAGAGUUAUCAUAUUUAAUACAAAAAAACUGUUUUCUGUGGAAAAUUGAAAAUGUUUAGAAACAGAAUUAAAAAAAAAAAAGAAAGAAAAAAUUGAAAAUGGAAGUUUGGUCUUUUGGCUUGCUCUUUUGUGUUGAGGUGACAUAAGUACAGGAAAAAAAAGGGCCUGUGAGUCAUCUUCCAACAGCAUUCUUUUAGGAGAGGUGAGGCUGGAUGGAGGGAAGAAGACGUGUUGUUUUGUCACUGCUGACCUACUUGGUUCACUGCACAGCUGGGCAACUUUGAGAUCUCCUGCUGAGAUUGUUGGGAGCCUGCAAAGAAAGAGCUGUAUGCUGGCCGGAAGAAGGACAGGCUGCUGAAGCUCAGCCCUCCAGUGGCCUCAGGCUGCUGCACCCAGCUGGCUUGUCCACAGCCCCUGCCAAGCACACGACAAGACAGCUUCAUCUGCAGCCUCCUCUGCAGGAAUUGCCUCAGAAGAAAACAUAUUGCUCUUUAGUUGGCAUCCUGCCUUUACUGAUGAGAUGUUAGCAGUUCCCAAGAAGAAGAAAAUCCAUAUGCCAAAGGAAGCUGUGGGCUCAAUUUCUAUGGAAGAAGAGUGUUGGAUGAAGCAUGGAAACAGGAAAAUUACUUCAACGCUUUGAAUGCUUCAGACACUGGAAUAUUUUGGGCUAUCAAAACAGAAUACAACAGUCAUGAUCAGAAGCAUUUUUCUUUAGCAUGAAAGAAACACAGAACAAGCAAUGGAUGUUCGUGGAAAAUUCCAGACACCAACUAGAUCUGGAUACAAUUGAUAAAGAGGACAAAGAACUAAUGGCAUGGAUUUAAUGGAUCAAGUUUCUCUUCUGCAGUUCAUCUCUUCGUUAAUGGCCCAUGAAAAGUGAAGACAAGAGAUUUGGACCAAAGAGCUGCCAGAGACUAAACCAAGCAUUACCUCUUGAAGGAUUGUAUCAUUGAUGCUUUAAAUUAAAACUUUAUUGCCAUUGUAAAAUGUCUGUGAGUUACCCAGAAAAAAUAAAAUAUAUGAUUUUCA